AACGAACGCUGGCGGCGUGCCUAACACAUGCAAGUCGUGCGAGAAAGUUCCUUCGGGAGCGAGUAAAGCGGCGCACGGGUGAGUAACACGUAGGUAACCUGCCCCCCAGUCUGGAACAACUAGAGGAAACUCUAGCUAAUGCCGGAUGAGACCACGAUCCCUUCGGGGGUUGCGGCCAAAGAUGGCCUCUACUUGUAAGCUAUCGCUGAGGGAUGGGCCUGCGGGCCAUUAGCUUGUUGGUGAGGUAACGGCUCACCAAGGCUGUGAUGGCUAGCUGGUCUGAGAGGAUGACCAGCCACACUGGGACUGAGACACGGCCCAGACUCCUACGGGAGGCAGCAGUGGGGAAUAUUGCGCAAUGGGCGAAAGCCUGACGCAGCGACGCCGCGUGGGUGAUGAAGGCCUUCGGUUGUAAGCCUCGUGGAGGGGACGGAAGUAAGUACUUGGUUAACAUCCAAGAUGAUGA
rnacentral:rRNA from 1 species